rnacentral:rRNA from 1 species
AGAGUUUGAUCCUGGCUCAGGAUUAACGCUGGCGGCGUGCAUAACCUAUGCAAGUCGAACGUGCCCAGAAGUGAGUUUCAGCUUCGGCUGAGGCUUGCGGAGGGAAAGUGGCGCACGGGUGAGUAACACGUAGGUGACCUGCCCCGAUGAGGGGGAUAACUGUUCGAAAGGGCAGCUAAUACCCCAUGUGAUUCGACAUUCGUUUGUCGGAUUAAAGGUCAGGCGAAAGCCUUUCCGCUUCGGGAGGGGCCUGCGGCCGAUUAGCUAGUUGGUGGGGUAAUGGCUCACCAAGGCAAUGAUCGGUAGCUGGUCUGAGAGGACGAUCAGCCACACUGGCACUGACACACGGGCCAGACUCCUACGGGGGGCAGCAAGGGGGAAUAUUGCGCAAUGGGCGAAAGCCUGACGCAGCAACGCCGCGUGGGUGAAGAAGGCCUUCGGGUUGUAAAACCCUUUUCUGGGGGAAGAGGAAGGACGGUACCCCAGGAAUAAGCCUCGGCUAACUACGUGCCAGCAGCCGCGGUAAAACGUAGGAGGCGAGCGUUAUCCGGAUUUACUGGGCGUAAAGGGCGUCUAGGCGGCGCUUUAAGUCGGGCGUGAAAGCUCCCGGCUCAACUGGGAGAGGUCGUUCGAUACUGAGGCGCUUGAGGACAGGAGAGGGAGGCGGAAUUCCCGGUGUAGCGGUAAUAUGCGCAGAUAUCGGGAGGAACACCAGUGGCGAAGGCGGCCUCCUGGCCUGCACCUGACGCUGAAGCGCGAAAGCGUGGGGAGCAAACGGGAUUAGAUACCCCGGUAGUCCACGCCCUAAACGAUGGAUACUAGGUGUUGGUGGUAUUGACCCCAUCAGCGCCGAAGUUAACACGUUAAGUAUCCCGCCUGGGGACUACGAGCGCAAGCUUAAAACUCAAAGGAAUUGACGGGCCCCCGCACAAGCAGCGGAGCGUGUGGUUUAAUUCGAGGCUACACGAAGAACCUUACCAGGGCUUGACAUGCUAGUGGUAGUGAAGCGAAAGCGGAACGACCCUUCGGGGAGCUAGCACAGGUGGUGCAUGGCUGUCGUCAGCUCGUGCCGUGAGGUGUCGGGUUAAGUCCCUCAACGAGCGCAACCCUCGUUGCUAGUUGUACUUCUCUAGCGAGACUGCCGAGAUAAACUCGGAGGAAGGUGGGGAUGACGUCAAGUCCGUAUGUCCUUUAUGUCCUGGGCUACACACACGCUACAAUGGCCGGUACAACGGGUCGCCAAGCCGCGAGGCGGAGCUAAUCCUUCAAAGCCGGUCUCAGUUCAGAUUGCAGGCUGCAACUCGCCUGCAUGAAGCUGGAGUUGCUAGUAACUGCCGGUCAGCAAUACGGCGGUGAAUACGUUCCCGGGGGUUGUACACACCGCCCGUCACGUCAUGAGAGUCGGCAACACCCGAAGCCGGUGGGCUAACCCGUGAGGGAGGCAGCCGUCGAAGGUGGGGCUGGUGAUUGGGACGAAGUCGUAACAAGGUAACC